AUUUAUGAUCUUUGAUGUCUCUCCUUUCCUAGUCUUGACUAAGGAUAUUAUCCCAAGUGUGUGCUCCUGAAUGCUAUGCAUUGGUGAAAGGAGGCAGAAAGAAGCUUGAAGACUCAACAUGCUUUAGAUGCUCUGAAAGCCUCUUUGGACCAAAAAUAAUACAGACUGCUCUUACAAAUCUAUAUUACCUCUGCUGUCACAGCUUAAGUGUAUCUUUUGGCUUCAGGAAUUGUGGGAGUAUUCAGGAGGCUCAAUUUUUAUGGUAGCAAAACACCUCUACAAACAAACAAAAAGUUCACCAAAAAUAGAAGAGGACAUCAACAAAAUGAUCAGGUGCUUCUCCAAUUUAAUUGUUUGGAAGCAGUCACUGGAAGCAACACUAUGUGACUCAGCUUUGGUGAUACAGUCCAGCUGGGGUCUGACAGACUGGGCCAACUGCCAUCAUUGAUAGAGAAACCUAGAAUCCAGGCUCAAUUUGGAGAGUCACCAAGAAGUGGAUUAUAGAUACAGACAGUUUAUGUGACCCAGCCAGCACCAUGUGCAGGUACAGCUGGAUCUGAGACCAUGGCUAGUGUUCUAUGGAACCUUCACCUUGUAGUCCUUGGCCCUUCCCUGAAUCUAGAGAGCCACUGAUGGCAUUUCUUCUCCCUGCUUCCUCCUUGUGAAAAUGGGGCCUCCAGUCUCACUUCUUAGUGCUGUUUGUUUGAGCAAAAGGAGUAGGACACUCAGUACAUAGAACAGGAGUGCAUUGGAGCAUGCCUUUGCCAAGCUCUGUGCAAUAAGGUACAUCCCUUAUUCACCAAAGAGUCAUUCCUGUCCUCUAGUAAAACUCUCCAGAUCAAACUGAAUGCAAAAUGAAAUUAAGUGCUUAGAGAAAAUGUACCACACCUAUAUAUCAGGCUCACUACCAGAUAUUUUAUAUGGAUAUAUAUAUGUAUAUAUGGAUAUAUAUACACAUAUAUUUU
rnacentral:lncRNA from 1 species